rnacentral:rRNA from 1 species
UACGUAGGGUGCAAGCGUUGUCCGGAAUUAUUGGGCGUAAAGCGCUCGUAGGUGGCCUGUCGCGUCGGCUGUGAAAACUCGGGGCUCAACUCCGAGCUUGCAGUCGAUACGGGCAGGCUAGAGUUCGGCAGGGGAGACUGGAAUUCCUGGUGUAGCGGUGAAAUGCGUAGAUAUCGAGAGGAACACCAGUGGCGAAGGCGAGUCCCUGGACACUUCCUGACACUGAGGCACGAAAGCUAGGGGAGCAAACAGG